rnacentral:rRNA from 1 species
AUGGCUCACACUGCCGGCGAUCCUACUGCAGAGCCUCGUCACUUUCAGGCUGCAUUGAGUAUUCCUCAUUGGCGUGCUGCAAUGGAACAAGAGUUUCAUGCCCUCCAACAGAAUGAUACUUGGCGUCUUGUUCCUCCAAAGUCUGUCGUAAACAUCAUUGAUUCCAAGUGGGUUUUCAAAGUCAAGCAACAUGCUGAUGGCUCCAUUGAACGUUACAAGGCACGGUUGGUCGCCAAGGGCUUCAAGCAGAGGUAUGGUCUUGAUUAUGAAGACACGUUCAGUCCAGUCAUCAAGCCUACUACCAUUCGGUUACUACUGUCUCUUGCGGUUACUCGUGGAUGGUUCCUUCGUCAGCUUGAUGUGCAGAGCACUUUUCUCCAUGGCAUUCUGGAGGAGGAGGUUUAUAUGCGUCAGCCGCCUGGUUUUGUUGAUCCGACACGACCUCACCAUCUCUGUCGUCUGGUUAAGGCACUGUAUGGACUCAAACAGGCUCCUCGUGCAUGGCAUGCUCGCCUUGGAUCUGUUCUUCGGGCUCUUGGGUUUACUCCCUCCACUGCUGAUACGUCACUGUUUCUCCUCCAGCGCCCUGAGGUUACAAUGUAUAUCUUGGUUUAUGUCGAUGAUAUCAUCCUUGUCAGUUCCUCUGCUGCUGCUGCUGAUCGCCUUGUGGUUGCUCUCCGUGAUGAUUUUGCUGUCAAGGAUUUGGGUGCUCUUCACUUUUUCCUUGGUCUUGAGGUUUCGCGGUCCUCUGCUGGUUUGACUCUCACUCAGAAGAAGUACUCCUUGGACUUGUUGCGUCGUGCUGGAAUGCUCAAAUGCAAACCUGUCUCCACUCCGAUGUCUGCUACUGAUCAGUUGUCUGCCCUUGAUGGUGACUCUCUCUCGUCUGAUGAUGCUACUGAGUAUCGCAGUAUCAUUGGUGGUCUGCAAUAUCUCACUAUUACCAGGCCUGAUAUCUCCUAUGCAGUUAACCGUGUCUGUCAGUUUUUGCAUGCACCCAGGACGUCUCACUGGUCAGCUGUGAAGCGUAUUUUGCGCUAUGUCAGUAUUACUGCUGCCUAUGGUCUGUAUCUUUAG